UACAGAGGAGCCAAGCGUUGUUCGGAAUUACUGGGCGUAAAGCGCGUGUAGGCGGUUGUCAAAGUCGGGUGUGAAAGCCUUGAGCUUAACUCAAGAAAUGCACUCGAUACUUGGUGACUAGAGGACCGGAGAGGAUAGUGGAAUUCCCAGUGUAGUGGUGAAAUACGUAGAGAUUGGGAAGAACACCAGUGGCGAAGGCGGCUAUCUGGACGGUUUCUGACGCUAAGACGCGAAAGCGUGGGGAGCAAACAGG
rnacentral:rRNA from 1 species